CCUGGUUCGAGAAAUUACAGCACUGAGCGGGAUUUAAUGGGACCCUUAAAAAUAAUCAACAAUUGCAAGACAACUUGAAAAUCUUCUUGUGAUAACCUUUGAAAGAAGCCCUCUCGUUCUCACCAAUUUUCAAAGGAAAGCUGGACGAUCAUCAUUCAGAAAGGGAAAAAAGAAAGGCUCAAGCUCAAAUAUGUUGUUAUUAGCUCAGCAAAUUCGGCUUUCUUCAACUCUGUUUCCAAACUCUUGAUUUUAUCCUUCCUUUGAUAUUGUAUUUUGAACCUUAUUAUAUUAUCAUUAAUAUCAUUUGGCCUUUACUU